rnacentral:rRNA from 1 species
UACGAAGGGGGCUAGCGUUGUUCGGAAUCACUGGGCGUAAAGCGCACGUAGGCGGACUUUCAAGUCAGGGGUGAAAUCCUGGAGCUCAACUCCAGAACUGCCUUCGAUACUGGCGAUCUUGAGUCCGGAAGAGGUGAGUGGAACUCCUAGUGUAGAGGUGGAAUUCGUAGAUAUUAGGAAGAACACCAGUGGCGAAGGCGGCUCACUGGUCCGGUACUGACGCUGAGGUGCGAAAGCGUGGGGAGCAAACAGG